rnacentral:autocatalytically_spliced_intron from 1 species
AGGAGCCGUAUACGUUAGUAGCGUACGUACGGAUCUGUGCGGGGGGUGGCCAGUAAUGGCCAUUCCUACCGUUCC